AUGCAAUUUCACCUGACUUGUUUUGAAGAUCUCUCGUCAUUGGUGUCCACAAUGUCGCGGACAACUUGCAGCUGCCCCCCAAAGAAGUGUUUCCAAGGCACUUGUGACUGUUUAAUAGGGAUUGAGUUAUGCUAUUCGGGAUGCAACUGCAGUGGUGACUGCCAGAACGGCUUAUCUCUUGGAACAAUCAACCCGGCUGCUGCCCAAGGUACCACCCCAACGCUUGCCUCUGGCUCUUCUGCUGCCCAAGAUACUGCUCAAACGCAACCGCUUGCCCCGAGCUCUUCUACUGCCCAAGGUAUCGCUCAACCACAUCCACUUGCCCCGAGCUCUUCUACUGCGGCCGUGCCAAAGCCAGAGGCAGUUGGUGGGCGGGUGAAGUGCAACUGCAACUUUACCAAAUGCCUAAACUGCCAAUGCACAUGUUUCAGGGAGGGUUUGAGUUGCAUUAUGGGACGCUGCAAGUGCUAUGACUGCGAGAACAACGAUGAUUGGCUGGCCGACGAGGAUUACGUGGAGUGCGCGUGCAAAACCAAAAACUGCAAAACUGGAGCCUGCGGUUGCAACAAGAAACUGAAAGGGUGUAUGCAUCGGGUGUGA
rnacentral:rRNA from 1 species